rnacentral:misc_RNA from 1 species
GAUGAAGAACGUAGCGAAAUGCGAUACUUGGUGUGAAUUGCAGAAUCCCGUGAACCAUCGAGUCUUUGAACGCAAGUUGCGCCUCAAGCCAUUAGGUUGAGGGCACGUCUGCCUGGGCGUCACAUAUCGUUGCCUGAUGCCAGUUUCCUCGUGAUGGGUGACUGUGCAGGGCGAAUGAUGGCUUCCUGUGAGCAUUGUUGCCUCAUGGUUGGUUGAAAAUUGAGUCCUUGGUAGGGAGCGCCGUGAUAGAUGGUGGUUGAGUGACGAACGAGACCCAAUCAUGUGAGACCCCUACCNAANNNNNCCUUCAUGACCCACAUGCGUCUUUGGAACGCUCAUGACGAGACCUCAGGUCAGGCGGGGCUACCCGCUGAGUUUAAGCAUAUCAAUAAGCGGAGGA